rnacentral:rRNA from 1 species
CAGCAGCCACGGUAAUACAGAGGGUGCGAGCGUUAAUCGGAUUUACUGGGCGUAAAGCGUGCGUAGGCGGCUUCUUAAGUCGGAUGUGAAAUCCCUGAGCUUAACUUAGGAAUUGCAUUCGAUACUGGGAAGCUAGAGUAUGGGAGAGGAUGGUAGAAUUCCAGGUGUAGCGGUGAAAUGCGUAGAGAUCUGGAGGAAUACCGAUGGCGAAGGCAGCCAUCUGGCCUAAUACUGACGCUGAGGUACGAAAGCAUGGGGAGCAAACAGGAUUAGAGACCCGUGUAGUCCCUGUCUCUUAUAC